UACGGAGGAUCCAAGCGUUAUCCGGAAUCAUUGGGUUUAAAGGGUCCGUAGGCGGCUCGGUAAGUCAGUGGUGAAAUCUCCCCGCUCAACGGGGAAACUGCCAUUGAUACUGCCAGGCUUGAAUUGUUGUGAAGUAACUAGAAUAUGUAGUGUAGCGGUGAAAUGCUUAGAUAUUACAUGGAAUACCAAUUGCGAAGGCAGGUUACUAACAGCAUAUUGACGCUGAUGGACGAAAGCGUGGGUAGCGAAC
rnacentral:rRNA from 1 species